GUGGGGAAUUUUGGACAAUGGGCGCAAGCCUGAUCCAGCAAUGCCGCGUGCAGGAAGAAGGCCUUCGGGUUGUAAACUGCUUUUGUACGGAACGAAACGGUCCUGGUUAAUACCUGGGGCUAAUGACGGUACCGUAAGAAUAAGCACCGGCUAACUACGUGCCAGCAGCCGCGGUAAUACGUAGGGUGCGAGCGUUAAUCGGAAUUACUGGGCGUAAAGCGUGCGCAGGCGGUUUUGUAAGACAGGCGUGAAAUCCCCGGGCUCAACCUGGGAAUUGCGCUUGUGACUGCAAGGCUGGAGUGCGGCAGAGGGGGAUGGAAUUCCGCGUGUAGCAGUGAAAUGCGUAGAUAUGCGGAGGAACACCGAUGGCGAAGGCAAUCCCCUGGGCCUGCACUGACGCUCAUGCACGAAAGCGUGGGGAGCAAACAGGAUUAGAAACCCUGGUAGUCC
rnacentral:rRNA from 1 species